rnacentral:rRNA from 1 species
CGGGUGAGUAAUGUCUGGGAAACUGCCUGGUGGAGGGGGAUAACUACUGGAAACGGUAGCUAAUACUGCAUAAUGUCGCAAGACCAAAGAGGGGGACCUUCGGGCCUCUUGCCAUCGGAUGUGCCCAGAUGGGAUUAGCUAGUAGGUGGGGUAAAGGCUCACCUAGGCGACGAUCCCUAGCUGGUCUGAGAGGAUGACCAGCCACACUGGAACUGAGACACGGUCCAG